UACGAAGGUCCCAAGCGUUAUCCGGAUUUAUUGGGUUUAAAGGGUGCGUAGGCGGGUUAUUAAGUCAGUGGUGAAAGCCUUCAGCUUAACUGAAGAAUUGCCAUUGAUACUGAUGAUCUUGAGUAUGAUUGAGGUGGGCGGAAUGUGUCAUGUAGCGGUGAAAUGCUUAGAUAUGACACAGAACACCGAUUGCGAAGGCAGCUCACUAAGUCAUAACUGACACUGAUGCACGAAAGCGUGGGGAGCAAACAGG
rnacentral:rRNA from 1 species